rnacentral:rRNA from 1 species
AUGCACGCUGGCGGCGUGCCUAAUACAUGCAAGUCGAGCGAACAGAUGAGGAGCUUGCUCCUCUGACGUUAGCGGCGGACGGGUGAGUAACACGUGGAUAACCUACCUAUAAGCCUGGGAUAACUUCGGGAAACCGGAGCUAAUACCGGAUAAUAUAUUGAACCGCAUGGUUCAAUAGUGAAAGACGGUUUUGCUGUCACUUAUAGAUGGAUCCGCGCCGCAUUAGCUAGUUGGUAAGGUAACGGCUUACCAAGGCAACGAUGCGUAGCCGACCUGAGAGGGUGAUCGGCCACACUGGAACUGAGGCACGGUCCAGACUCCUACGGGAGGCAGCAGUAGGGAAUCUUCCGCAAUGGGCGAAAGCCUGACGGAGCAACGCCGCGUGAGUGAUGAAGGUCUUCGGAUCGUAAAACUCUGUUAUUAGGGAAGAACAAAUGUGUAAGUAACUAUGCACGUCUUGACGGUACCUAAUCAGAAAGCCACGGCUAACUACGUG